UACGGGGGGAGCAAGCGUUGUUCGGAUUUACUGGGCGUAAAGGGCGCGUAGGCGGUCAGCACAAGUCAGUUGUGAAAUCUCCGGGCUUAACUCGGAAAGGUCAACUGAUACUGUGCGACUAGAGUGCGGAAGGGGCAACUGGAAUUCUCGGUGUAGCGGUGAAAUGCGUAGAUAUCAGGAGGAACACCGGUGGCGAAGGCGGGUCUCUGGGCCGAAACUGACGCUGAGGAGCGAAAGCGUGGGGAGCAAACAGG
rnacentral:rRNA from 1 species